rnacentral:rRNA from 1 species
AGAAUCAACGCUGGCGGCGUGCCUAACACAUGCAAGUCGAACGAGAAAGUUGGAGCAAUCCAUGAGUAAAGUGGCGACCGGGUGAGUAACACGUGACUAACCUACCUUCGAGUGGGGGAUAACCUCGGGAAACCGAGGCUAAUACCGCAUAACAUCGCAAGAUCAAAGCAGCAAUGCGCUGGAAGAGGGGGUCGCGGCUGAUUAGCUAGUUGGCGGGUAACGCCCACAAGGCGAAGAUCGGUA